rnacentral:rRNA from 1 species
CCUACGGGAGGCAGCAGUGGGGAAUAUUGGGCAAUGGGCGCAAGCCUGACCCAGCAACGCCGCGUGAAGGAAGAAGGCUUUCGGGUUGUAAACUUCUUUUAAGAGGGAAGAGCAGAAGACGGUACCUCUUGAAUAAGCCACGGCUAACUACGUGCCAGCAGCCGCGGUAAUACGUAGGUGGCAAGCGUUGUCCGGAUUUACUGGGGGUAAAGGGCGUGCAGCCGGGAAGACAAGUCAGAUGUGAAAUCCCGCGGCUCAACCGCGGAACUGCAUUUGAAACUGUUUUUCUUGAGUACCGGAGAGGUCAUCGGAAUUCCUUGUGUAGCGGUGAGAUGCGUAGAUAUCAGGAAGAACACCAGUGGCGAAGGCGGAUGACUGGACGGCAACUGACGGUGAGGCGCGAAAGCGUGGGGAGCAAACAGGAUUAGAUACCCCGGUAGUC